rnacentral:rRNA from 1 species
AGUUAUAAUUUCAUGGGAUGUGUUUUGUUAAUUGGAUAACUGUGGUAAUUCUAGAGCUAAUACAUGCAUAUACGUUCGGUUUCGGCUGGAUGUGCUUUUAUUAGUGCAAACCAUGUCUUCGGACUUCAUGGUGAUGACUCUGAAUAACUUCGCCGAGCAUUUCAGCCUUGCGCUGGUGCUAUUCCUUCAAAGUAUCUGCUCUAUCAACUGUCGAUGGUAUAUUAUAUGUUUACCAUGGUUGUAACGGGUAACGGGGAAUUAGGGUUCGAUUCCGGAGAGGGAGCCUGAGAAACGG